rnacentral:rRNA from 1 species
AGAGUUUGAUCCUGGCUCAGGACGAACGCUGGCGGCGUGCUUAAUACAUGCAAGUCGAACGAGAAAGUUUCCUUCGGGGAAUGAGUAGAGUGGCGCACGGGUGAGUAACGCGUAGGUAAUCUACCUUUGAGUCUGAGAUAACCUCGGGAAACUGGGGCUAAUACCGGAUGACGCUAUAGAUUUAGAAGUUUAUAGUUAAAGGGCCUUCGGGUCUGCUUGGAGAUGAGCCUGCGACCUAUCAGCUAGUUGGUAGUGUAAUGGACUACCAAGGCGAAGACGGGUAGCUGGUCUGAGAGGAUGAUCAGCCACACUGGCACUGAGACACGGGCCAGACUCCUACGGGAGGCAGCAGUAGGGAAUAUUGCGCAAUGGGCGAAAGCCUGACGCAGCGACGCCGCGUGAGUGAAGAAGGGAGUUAUUGUUGUAAAGCUCUGUAAGGGGGGAAGAAAUUUGACGGUACCCCCAGAGUAAGGACCGGCUAAAUACGUGCCAGCAGCCGCGGUAAUACGUAUGGUCCGAGCGUUGUCCGGAAUGACUGGGCGUAAAGGGAGUGUAGGCGGACUAAUAUGUCAGGUGUGUAAUCCCUCGGCUUAACCGAGGAACUGCGCUUGAAACUGUUAGUCUAGAGUAUGUCAGAGGCAAGCGGAAUUCCCGGAGUAGCGGUGAAAUGCGUAGAGAUCGGGAAGAACACCAGUGGCGAAGGCGGCUUGCUGGGGCAUAACUGACGCUGAGGCUCGAAAGCGUGGGGAGCGAACGGGAUUAGAUACCCCGGUAGUCCACGCUGUAAACGAUGGAUACUAGAUGUAUGGUAUAUUAAAAUAUUAUGUGUCGAAGUUAACGCGAUAAGUAUCCCGCCUGGGGAGUACGGCCGCAAGGUUAAAACUCAAAGGAAUUGACGGGGGCCCGCACAAGCGGUGGAGCAUGUGGUUUAAUUCGAUGCAACGCGAAGAACCUUACCCGGGCUUGACAUCCUCCUGCCGGAUUUUAGAGAUAGAAUCUCCUUCUUCGGAAGCGGGAGUGACAGGUGCUGCAUGGCUGUCGUCAGCUCGUGUUGUGAGAUGUUGGGUUAAGUCCCGCAACGAGCGCAACCCUUGUUGUUAGUUGCCAUCAUUAAGUUGGGCACUCUAGCAAGACUGCCGAGGUUAACUCGGAGGAAGGUGGGGAUGACGUCAAGUCCUCAUGGCCCUUAUGUCCGGGGCUACACACGUGCUACAAUGGUGGGGACAAAGUGAAGCUAAGUUGAAAAACCAAGCAAAUCACAAAAACCUCAUCCCAGUUCGGAUUGGGGUCUGCAACUCGACCCUAUGAAGUUGGAAUCGCUAGUAAUCGCAGAUCAGCAUGCUGCGGUGAAUACGUUCCCGGGCCUUGUACACACCGCCCGUCACACCAUGGGAGUUGUUCUCACUGGACGACGUUGAGCUAGCUCGCAAGAGAGGCAGGCGUUAAUGGUGAGGAUAGCGACUGGGGUGAAGUCGAAACAAGGUA